UACGGAGGGUGCAAGCGUUAAUCGGAUUUAUUGGGCGUAAAGGGCGCGUAGGCGGGAACGCAAGUCAGAUGUGAAAUUCCUGGGCUCAACCCAGAAACUGCAUUUGAAACUAUGUUUCUUGAGGGUAGAUGGAGAAAACGGAAUUCCACGUGUAGCGGUGAAAUGCGUAGAUAUGUGGAAGAACACCAGUGGCGAAGGCGGUUUUCUAAUUUAUUCCUGACGCUGAUGCGCGAAAGUUGGGGGAGCAAACAGG
rnacentral:rRNA from 1 species